rnacentral:rRNA from 1 species
GACGAACCGUGCGAACGUUGUUCGGAAUCAUUGGGCUUAAAGGGCGCGUAGGCGGGCUGCCGAGUUCGGGGUGAAAUCCUCCCGCUCAACGGGAGAACGGCCUCGAAUACUGGCGGUCUCGAGGGAGGUAGGGGCGUGCGGAACUAUGGGUGGAGCGGUGAAAUGCGUUGAUAUCCAUAGGAACUCCGGUGGCGAAGGCGGCACGCUGGACCUCUUCUGACGCUGAGGCGCGAAAGCCAGGGGAGCGAACGGG